rnacentral:tRNA from 3 species
UCCUCCGUGGCGCAAUUGGCUAGCGCGUCUGACUGUUAAUUAUAAAAGGUUGAAAGUUCGAGCCUUUCCGGGGGAG